CGGCUACAAACGGCUAUAGACGUCUUGGUCUACACGAAGACGUUAAACAGACGUUCUUCGAAACAUUAUGUAGCCGCAAGUACAGUGAAUAAAACAGACUAUUGUGUCUCAGCUGUGGUAUCAGCCCACGCCUGACGUCAACGAAGUAUAUUUUGGUGAACAUCUUCAGAGCGUCUAACUCAAGAACUUUUUUAGAUGUUUGUUUCAGAAAAUUAAGACGCGAUACGCUUAGGUGCGCGCGCGAAAAAGAAUUCAAAUGCGCGUGCCCGACGCGCAGCGUUUCAUUCCGUGACACUUAACAGGCCUGUCAGUUAGUUAAUGUCGCGUCAUAGAAUUUCGAUCCUUAAAUUUCCCCCUUUGGGUGAACAACCAGAAAAAGCCUGCAGGGUUCUUUGAUGCCAUUCCGAUAUUAUUCCUCGAUCGCCACAACUACGUGUUUUCCGAGCGGCCACCAACGUUCACUCCACCAGGCGCGUAGCACGAUCGAAGGUGAGUCUGCAUAUAUAUAUAUAGUUAUAAGCUGCGAUCGAACGACAAUCAGUGUAGAGAAAAAAAAUAAAAACGGCCGGGCGCACAUAUGCGCGCCCGUUCAGCGUCCCUAUCAGCUAGAGCACAUGCCUUCCUUUCCCUUAGCGUGAGCAAGCGGUGAGGAAUCCACAAUUGCGAUAUCGGCUGUCGUCAACGGCAGAUCUGCCGCGCGCGGUCGCAAACGUGCACUCCGUUUGAGAACGGCGAAAUGCUAUCUGCUCCUGUACAGCACCAGGGGGCGCGCUGAAGUUGCCGCCCGAUUCAAAGGUAGAUAGCCACAUAGCAUCAACAUCACCAACCGCGUAGCACGGCCGGUACGGCAGCGCGAUUAAAGCCUUUCGCUACUUUUAGAACAUCCAGAGGAAAUUUAGGCACUUUCGGGCUUUAGGUAAUUGUCGUUGAGCCGCGCUCCCUCUAUAACUUCAUGUGGAUAGCAGUGGAUAGUGCCAAUCUUUCCUUUCCUCGGGACUACGUCUCUCGGUAAAGUUUUGAUUUCGGCGCGUGCUCAUUCUUUAGCUUUCGCUCACCGGUGCUCAUGGUUCCCCUGCCAAGUUCUAUCGGGCUUAUAUUUUAGCUUGUGCACCGCUCAUAGUUCUUUUGCUCACGUUCAAGCCUUGACCAGCGCCUGCAGAAGCGGUGCAGUUCUUACGGUUAUGUAUGCUGUCUUGAGGUUUGUCGAUGACAACAGUGUUGUUGUUGUCCCAACUAACUGGUUGUUGAAGAAUAAAAAGAUGUGUUUGUGGCCGACUAUGCUGGGCACCCAUGAAUUGACGAAAGCUGUGAAACGACGUGCCCAUCUCAAUCCUUCUACAACGCCUAACUUCAAGGUGAAGGUGAUCAAAACUACAGCAACAUACGAUGAAGCUCGGCAGAAGUUGCCACAAGCGGAAAAUUCAGACAAUGUCGACACAACAGAUCAAGAAAAAGGACGUGGUAAGCGGCGCAAAUACGCACGCAUUUUGAGCUCGUCGGAUGAUUCGGAAGAGGAAGACAAUUUCAAUCUUCCAGAACCACCCUUCUCUCAAAGCACUUCAAGCACCAGUAAUGAUGGCAGAACAAGUAAGUGAUGGCUACUUUUUGUCAGCAGUAGAACCAGCUUGCAUUGCAAGUGAUAAAUGUGAGCUAAACCUUGGGGAGGGCUAAACAAAUGUGAGCUUUAAUCUGGUAUUCAUACUUACUGAGGCACUACACCAUAAGCAGCAAGCUGAAUUCCUGGUAUUGCUUGAAUGUGUAUCACUGCAUUAAAUUUUGCACUGGAUUGCAGCUUCCAGACAAAGGCUUGCUGAAACAGCUUCUGAAAGUAAGAUUUUUGUCUUUACGUAAGCACUGUAGCACCGCUGAAUUUUGCUCCUGGGUACUUAUUAAAUUUCUGUUUUGCAGAAACCCAGCAGGCAGACUUAUCUUUGCAGACAGCUCAUCUAUGUAAGAUUUU